UGGGGAAUAUUGCACAAUGGGCGCAAGCCUGAUGCAGCAACGCCGCGUGAAGGAUGAAGGGUUUCGGCUCGUAAACUUCUUUAGGCAGGGAAGAAAGAAAUGACGGUACCUGCAGAAUAAGCCCCGGCUAACUACGUGCCAGCAGCCGCGGUAAUACGUAGGGGGCAAGCGUUAUCCGGAAUGACUGGGUGUAAAGGGUGAGUAGGCGGCCAGGCAAGUCAUAUGUGAAAUUCCGAGGCUUAACUUCGGAACUGCAUAAGAAACUGUCAGGCUAGAGUACAGGAGAGGUAAGCGGAAUUCCUAGUGUAGCGGUGAAAUGCGUAGAUAUUAGGAAGAACACCAGUGGCGAAGGCGGCUUACUGGACUGAAACUGACGCUGAGUCACGAAAGCGUGGGGAGCGAACA
rnacentral:rRNA from 1 species